AACGGGGAUUACACGGCGAUGCGAUUUCGGUCAAAUCAAGUGCAAUCUUAGUGGCGGACGGGUGAGUAACGCGUGGGUAACCUGCCUUGCACUGGGGGAUAACACUUAGAAAUAGGUGCUAAUACCGCAUAAGCGCACGGUCCUGCAUGGGACAGUGUGAAAAACUCCGGUGGUGCAAGAUGGACCCGCGUCUGAUUAGCUGGUUGGCGGGGUAAAGGCCCACCAAGGCGACGAUCAGUAGCCGGCCUGAGAGGGUGGACGGCCACAUUGGGACUGAGACACGGCCCAAACUCCUACGGGAGGCAGCAGUGGGGGAUAUUGGACAAUGGGGGGAACCCUGAUCCAGCGACGCCGCGUGAGUGAAGAAGUAUUUCGGUAUGUAAAGCUCUGUCAGCAGGGAAGAAAGCAAUGACGGUACCUGACCAAGAAGCCCCGGCUAACUACGUGCCAGCAGCCGCGGUAAUACGUAGGGGGCAAGCGUUAUCCGGAAUUACUGGGUGUAAAGGGAGCGUAGACGGCUGUGCAAGUCUGGAGUGAAAGGCGGGGGCCCAACCCCCGGACUGCUCUGGAAACUGUAUGGCUGGAGUGCAGGAGAGGUAAGCGGAAUUCCUAGUGUAGCGGUGAAAUGCG
rnacentral:rRNA from 1 species